rnacentral:rRNA from 1 species
UACGUAGGCAGCAAGCGUUGUUCGGAGUUAUUGGGCGUAAAGAGCGUGUAGGCGGCCUGAAAGGUCAGCUGUGAAAACUCGAGGCUCAACCUCGAGACGUCGGUUGAAACCAUCUGGCUAGAGUCCGGAAGAGGAGUGUGGAAUUCCCGGUGUAGCGGUGAAAUGCGCAGAUAUCGGGAAGAACACCCGUGGCGAAGGCGGCACUCUGGGACGGUACUGACGCUGAGACGCGAAAGCGUGGGGAGCGAACAGG